rnacentral:rRNA from 1 species
CCAGACUCCUACGGGAGGCAGCAGUGGGGAAUAUUGCACAAUGGGGGAAACCCUGAUGCAGCGACGCCGCGUGAGCGAUGAAGUAUUUCGGUAUGUAAAGCUCUAUCAGCAGGGAAGAAGAUGACGGUACCUGACUAAGAAGCCCCGGCUAACUACGUGCCAGCAGCCGCGGUAAUACGUAGGGGGCAAGCGUUAUCCGGAUUUACUGGGUGUAAAGGGAGCGUAGACGGCGGCGCAAGCCAGAUGUGAAAGCCCGGGGCUCAACUCCGGGACUGCAUUUGGAACUGUGUGGCUGGAGUGCGGGAGGGGCAGGCGGAAUUCCUGGUGUAGCGGUGAAAUGCGUAGAUAUCAGGAGGAACACCGGCGGCGAAGGCGGCCUGCUGGACCGCGACUGACGUUGAGGCUCGAAAGCGUGGGGAGCAAACAGGAUUAGAUACCCCUGUA